CAAAAAUAGUCCUGCUUGGCAGGCGGCUGGGCUCAAUAACUUAGAGACCGAUUUGUGGCCAGCUAUAUAAAUUGCCGAGUUAUUCUUGGGUUGCUAGUAUGCAAGCUGAGCUUUCAAUACUUUAGUGAAUGUGUGUUUUCCCCUCUUAAGAUGAUCAAAAGUACAGCUGCCAAGGACACCCUGAGAGCCGGGAGUGCUGAAUGAGGAGCUGGGAUGCUGGACUUGAUAGAAUAGGCAAAACGAUAAAACUAACUCCAGGCGUGUGGUACUGGAAGGAUGAUACUAACACACUUGAAUUUGCAAGCUCCAACCGAGCAGCUGAGGAAAACCUUAAGGAAGGACAAAAUAUUCCCUUUCAGGAAAUGCGUGUCAAGACUUUAAAGAGCAUCUUUCGAGGUGAUUGCAGUGCAACUCUCCCUGAAAGAAGGCUGGCUGACAAAGAAGGAAAAUUGCAUAGGCUGUCCAAGUGGCUACAACAUGAAUAUGUGACGUUGGAUGACGUCAAAUGUGAGUAAUUGCUGGUAUAUCUUAUCAGCAAGGCGUCACCCAUACAAGUUAGAAGGUUAUUUCUACUAACAUCAGCAAUUUUUUUUUGAGGAAAUACUGUUUUUCUCCUCUGUUUUCAGAUGCUGCUUUGCUUUUGAAAGAAGCAAAUAAGUCACAUCCCAUGUUGCCAUUUGCAGCAGUUAUCAGGUAUGUCAUUUAGAGUCUGGUUCAAGAAUUAUGUGUGUGUGUAGCUGGUAGUGGAGGGACCAGGGUGUAUGGGAAGUAGAAUAUG
rnacentral:lncRNA from 1 species